rnacentral:lncRNA from 1 species
AUUUUUUUACACAUAAGUCCAUUUGUUGUUACCUUUUCCUUCAGUUUCAGUGUAUGGAAUGCUCCUUUGUAGAGUUUCAUGUAUUUGCUUUUCUAUUUUCCCUGAUUUUGUUCAACUUUUUAAAGUGUAAUGGUUGUGUUUUAUUAUGGAAAAGGUUUAUCAAUUGAUAACUCUUUGUCACCCCUUUUCUAGGAGGGUCUGUUAAAUAAUUUGUAAUUGAGCUGCAUUUUAAAUUUGUUGAAAUGUACUUAAUUUAUCAUAUUGCUUUUGAAUCAGAAUGAUUUCAAAACUUGAAGCUCAGGUCAAACAAGUGGAGCAUGAAAAUAUGUUAAGCUUUCGUCAUAAUUCUAAAACUCACGUGAGACCCUCUCGUGCCAAGUACCAUUCCCCUCCAGAAAAGGAUUCUUCACCUGAAAGUUCACCAACAAGCUUAUUGAUGAAAAACCAAAGAGAGACUUCAGACAUACCGAUCAUGAAAGCUUUAAAAGAACUUGAUGAAGAAAAAAUAUUUAAAAAUUGGGGGACACAAACAGAGAAAGAGGAUACCUCAAAUAAAUUAGUGAAUCCUCGGCAAACUGAAACUUCAGUCAAUGCAAGUCGUUCCCCAGAAAAAUGUGCCCAACAGAGACAAAAGAGACUUAAUUCUGCUUCACAGAGAUCAUCCUCUUUACCACCUUCAAAUCGUAAAUCAAGCACUCCAACAAAGAGAGAGAUUAUGUUAACACCAGUGACUGUGGCUUAUAGUCCAAAGCGAUCCCCUAAAGAAAAUUUGUCUCCAGGAUUUAGUCAUCUACUUAGCAAAAAUGAAAACAGUCCAAUUAGAUUUGAUAUACUUUUGGAUGAUUUAGAUACUGUUCCUGUGUCGACAUUACAACGUACCAAUCCAAGAAAACAACUCCAGUUUCUUCCUCUAG